AAAUCCUGCCAAAAUUUUGGCAAGUUACCAAAAUUUUGGUAACUAUACCAAAAUUUUUGCAAUGCCAAAGUUUGAUAAGUUUUUUUUUCAUCCAAGUAAACAGGCCCUAAGUCGAACGUAGCGGUCCAAAUAUUUUCACAUAAAAGUCCCUGCUGUUUAUUCCGCGACAUAGGGAUAAAAACAGAGCUAAUACAGACGAAUGCUCAUAUCAUAUUCGUCUUUAUAUUUUCUUUUUUGGAUGCAAAAAUAAAUACGAAUAGUUCAGAUGCAGAAACAAAUAUGAAUUCUCUUGAAUAUGAAUAAGGAAAUACUUUUUUCUCGAAACACAGAAACCACCUCAACUUCUAAUAUAAACAAAUGUCAUCGUAUAUAAUUAGUUUUCUAUAUAAAAUAUAGUAUAAUUUAUUAAAAUAUUUAAAUUUAAAUAAUAUUAAUAGUGUGGACUAAUGUUAAAAUAUGUACUACUAUUUAAAAUCUAAAAAGGUAGAUUUAAGGUCAUAAAGUUAUAGAGAAAUGGAGUAAGUAUAUCCGAUAGCACUGUUCACGAGAUAUUUAUAUUAUUAUCCGUACCCGUUAAAAACCACAAUAUCAUAUCCGUAUCAAUAUCCAAAUUAUACGAGAAUUAUCCGUUUCAAAAGGUAUAUGUGAUCUUUUCCUCCAGGGUGGACGGAAACUAUCCUCUCUUUUUUUUUCCCCUACAAAGACCUAGAUCCACCACCGCCGUCGACUGCCACGCUGCUGCUGUUUGCUUGAUGGAUUGCCGUCUCCGGUCUCCCGUCAGGCUCUGCUCGCCGACGCGUCGGUGGCGCAGGGUUUGUAUACAUCUAAACCAGAUUAAGCAAACCCUGUGGAGGGACAAAUCGGAGAACACGGACAGUGAUAGGUGUAGCUAGUAUUUCUUUGAUUCUUUCACCCUUCAUCAAGAUCAUAAUUCUCUUUCUUUAAUUGCCAGGUCGCACAAGGAGAUGAGAUCUGAAAUACUGUAUAUUAAUAAAGACCACAUAAUCUCUUGCAAUCUGCAAACAGCUUUCCUCUGUCCAGGUUCAGAGAAGGCCUCUGUCCAGGUUCAGAGAAGGGGACACAGCAUGAAUGAAGCAAUUGUUGGUUCAUCAGUGAUUCAGUCGAGGUCGCCAUGGGGACAAUGAGCAGUCAUCCCCACGUUCUCAAAUCUGUGUACAUUGCAGAGAGAAAAAAAAUGCCUGAUUGUCAGACAUGUCCUGCACACGCACAAUCUGCUGCUUCCUGCUUUGUUUUUGCAGUAUAAAUUUGUGACUGGAACAGGCUUAAUCGUAUUUGAGCUGCACGUGAGAACGUCCCAAUUUCUUGCUGAAGAGAUUUCACAACUUGCCAUGCCAUUCAGUAAACUCUUAGUUGACAGUUCUACUGCAAGAAAGCAAUGGGCACACAGAGGAAACAGAGUGAAUCUGCAAACAGGAUAUCACAACUCAACAUUUUACAGAUCAUAUGAAAGCAGCCCAACCCGCUGAAAUACACUGCUCUGUGUUGUAAAAGCGUGGCAAUACAUUGCUGUACGUGUAUAUUGGUUAAGUUGUGAUGAACAUAUCUGCAACAAAGCUAUGGCCGACGAUCGGCAGUAACGGAAUUAGCCAAUGAUGAGUGGAGUUUUGAUUCUAUACAGAACAAUGCAAUAGUAUCUUUUGAUCUUCUAAGUUCUAACUAGUGUAAGUUCAUCUGAAUGGUCAACUGAAGACAAGGGCCUGAAACACCUCUCAAAACUCAGCCAAUUGAA